UUAGAUACCNUGGUAGUCCACGCAGUAAACGAUGAAUGCUAGUUGUCGGGGGCGAUGAGUUUCUGGGUGACACAGCGANAGCGUUAAGCAUUCCACUGGGGGAGUACGCCGGCAACGGUGAAACUCAAAGGAAUUGACGGGGGCCCGCACAAGCGGAGGAACAUGUGGUUUAAUUCGAUGAUACGCGAGGAACCUUACCCGGGCUCAAACGCAGGAGGGAUGUUUUUGAAAGGAGGCAGCCAGCAAUGGUCUCCUGCGAGGUGCUGCAUGGUUGUCGUCAGCUCGUGCCGUGAGGUGUCGGCUUAAGUGCCAUAACGAGCGCAACCCCUACNCUACAGUUGCCAUCGCGUGAUGGCGGGCACUCUGUGGGGACUGCCUGCGCAAGCAGUGAGGAAGGCGGGGAUGACGUCAAAUCAGCACGGCCCUUACGUCCGGGGCGACACACGUGUUACAAUGGCAGGUACAGCGGGAAGCCACCCGGCGACGGGGCGCGGAACCCGAAAACCUGUCUCAGUUCGGAUUGGAGUCUGCAACCCGACUCCAUGAAGCUGGAUUCGCUAGUAAUCGCGCAUCAGCCACGGCGCGGUGAAUACGUUCCCGGGCCUUGUACACACCGCCCGUCAAGCCAUGGAAGCCGGGGGUGCCUGAAGUGCGUGACCGCAAGGAGCGCCCUAGGGUAAAACCGGUGACUGGGGCUAAGUCGUAACAAGG
rnacentral:rRNA from 1 species